AAGAGGAACUAAAACACCCUUUCCAGGAAUUAAGAAAUUGAGAAGGAGGACCUAAACACCUUCACGUGGCUUACAGAGAUUCCAUCCCAUUAGAGGCAACAGUUCAGAAAGCUUCAUCACCCCAAGCUUCACCUACACUACUAGCCUAGAAAUUCCCCUUUUGGUGUGAUUGCAAUGCAAAUUCUUCCUUCUCCGUGUGUGCUUGCAGAGAUCCAGGGCAGCAGCACUGCACUGUCAAGUAUGUCUGUGGAUGUGGUCAUGCCAUUGCCAAGACAUUUGCACAGUACUUUGUAACAGGUCAGCAGCUUUACCAGCAGUCUGAGCCAAUGUUAUACAGCCAGGUGGGAACAGAGUUGAGCCUUAAAUCCCUGGAGCAUGAGCAGCCAAGUCUGGAGAGGAGAAAGCAUUUUUCUCAGUGGCAAGCUCUCUACCUCUGGAACUGAGGUCCAGCUCAUCCCUGCAGCAGCCUGAUGGGUUAACAACUUGCUUAAGCUUAUCAAAGGCAAAACUUGGGAUCUUACGAUGGCCUUUUAUAAACAAUAGACUGAACAUCACUGGCCAUACUUGACAUUACUAUUCCUGCUAGCUUUCUUUCAAAGGAAAUGCAGCUGCCAAGGUGAUGUGUUUUGGAUCUGUAACCAAACCAAUGUUGAAUACACAGUGAUGUUCUAGAUGCUGCUGAGCGGUGCUGGCACAGCGUGAAGGCUUUCUCUAUUCCUUUCUCUGUCUGCUCAGUGAGUAGUCUGGGGGUGGUCAAAUGAUUGGGUGGGGACGCGGCCAGGACAGACAGCUAACCUGAACUGACCAAGGAGAUAUUUCAUACCACAUGACAUCCUGCUCAGCAAUAAAACAAGGAUGGGGAGUUUUUCCAAAAUAACCAUUGCUCAGAAACUGGCCAGGUGUCAGUGAGAACACAUGGAGGUGGUGAUGAGUCAUUGCCUUUGUAUUAAUUGUCAUUGAUUGGGGUUGUUUUCUUCACUUAUUAAACUGUAUUUCAAUCUAUCAUGGGUUUUGUCCUUCCAAUUCUCUCCCCCGCCCACUGAAGGGAGCUGAGCAAACAAUUGAAUGAGUUCUUGGCUUCUGAUGUCAGCAUACCACAGGCACCCACAUAAACUGGUAGCAGAUCAUAGCAGGGGAAUAUUUUCGUAUAGGUAUGCUGGCUGUAUUACUCCCUCAAAAGAGAAGAAUCAAGUCAUGAGGAGGUGCUAAGACCAUCAUCACAACCUGUCAGAAGUCUGGACUCUAGCAUCAGGUGAGGUCCAUCCUGUAGCAAACAACUGAGCUGGGGACUCCCUGUCCCAUCUCUAAACAGUAAAAUACACAGAUGUAUGUAUUGUUUCUACAGCCCACUUGGAAUAACAGGAUAAUAGCUGUGGCUAAUUCUGAUUCUAUCAGAAAUGUGGAUGGAGCUGCUAAGAAGUUUGAAUAACUUCUCUUCAGGCUAUGUAGUGAGCUGGGACAGAUACAUCAUUUAAAAAAAAAAAAAAUCUGCUAGUUAAAGCCUAAGACAGUUAACUUCCUGAAGGGCUGCCCUCACCCAGAUGGAGAUUGGUGGGGGAAUACUCCUUUACCCCCAGCCAAGCCCACCUUGGGCACUUAAUGAUAGCAAACCAGAGGAGGGCAGACUCUUUUCAGUGGCACCCAGUGACAGUACAUGAAACGGCACAAGCACGGGAGGUUCCCUCUGAACAUUGGGAAACAUUUUCCUACUUUGAGGGUAACCACACACUGUCACAGCUUGCCUGAGAGCAUGUGGAGUGUCCUUUCUUGGAGAUGUUCUAAAGCUGUCUGAACAUGGUCCUGGGCAACUGGCUCUAGGUGACCCUGGUGGACCAGAUGACCUCAGAGGUCCCUGUCAAUUUCAAUCAUUCUGUCAUUCUGUGAUCUUCAAAAGCAACCAGUGCCCAAAAGGGGUUCAUGAACAUCCCAGUUAUACCUAUAGCUGUUAAUUCUCCACAUCCUACCUGGGGUGACCUUAGGGUGAUUGCAGAUGGAGCUGUGACCUCAGAAGUGAAAUUAUGCAUGGUUAAAUUUGCUAGGCUUUGGCCCCAGUAACAACUAAAUACCUAUAACAAGAUUGAUCUUACCCUGUCUUUUCCUGUAUUGAGCAGUCUCUUCCUCCCUUUAACUCUACCAUAAGUCUUCUGUUUGCAGGAAAAACUCCGUACAAGUUGUAGAAUUACUGCCUACCAGCGCUUGAUAGCAAUUCCAUUUGUUGCCAUGUAAGAACAAGAUAUCUAAAAACAGAGUAACACAGGGAAGAAAUGCUGCAUCUCAGUGCAGGUUCCCAGACUCUGCCUGCCCCACUCUCAAAAAAUCCUGUUG